GAAGCACUGAGUUAGACCAGAAACCUCCAAAUCAGUUUGCAAAUGAUGUGGCGAGUGAAGAGACCAGGCUGUGAAGGUCACUGCCCUGAGAACACUGCUGGUGCGAGGAACAGGGUCACUGGAAAGCCAGUUUCUCUCUUACCUGUGGAUAGCAGGUGUCAGCUUCAACCUUGAAUGAGAUCAGCCUGGUCUUACCCAGAACCUAAAACGUCUUAAACCUCCACUUCACAUUAUUUUCUUCUUGGUUCUGCCACAAGGGUAGAAGCUGUAAUUUGGUAUAUGAUUUUCCCUUUUCCCUGAUGUAUCUGUCAUUGACUUCUGAUUCUUUAGUUCUUACAUUAACCUUUUAAACAUAUAUAGAACUGAUUUCAUAGAUGUUUUCUUCAUCCCUCACUGAAAUUAGCCUUGAGUGAAUAACUGGAAUAAAAUAAUAAGAUUGUGGUUGCCCCAAAUUAAUCUUUUGGUUGAGAGUAUUCAUGCUAUCCAUGGAUUUGGGAUCCAGGGGAGGCAUGAGAAAAUGUGGUUCUGACAGUUAAUAAUUUCUUUGGUAUUUGGUCUUCCGAGUGGAGGAGAGAAUUGAACUCUUUUAUCACUUCAAAAUAAUAAUAAAAAAAGAAGCAUGAAAUUUGCAUGUUAUAUAAAACACAAGAUGGAAACACAUUGCUGUUUUCUGUCCCUGUCAUUUGAACCCAGCUCCCUAAAAUGAAUGGUGCCUUUAACUUAUUGAGCCCAAGAAGGAAAAUUCAAGAAAAAAUGCUGCUUACCCU
rnacentral:lncRNA from 1 species